UGGGCACCUGAUCCUCCACCGCGUGAGUGAAGAAGCCUCGGGUUGUAAAGCUCUUUCGCAAGGGAAGAAAACUUAUGAUCGAAUAAAUCAUGAGGUUGACGGUACCUUGAUAAGAAGCACCGGCUAACUACGUGCCAGCAGCCGCGGUAAUACGUAGGGUGCGAGCGUUAAUCGGAAUUACUGGGCGUAAAGCGUGCGCAGGCGGUUUUGUAAGUCGGAUGUGAAAUCCCCGGGCUCAACCUGGGAACUGCGUUCGAAACUGCAAGGCUAGAGUGUGUCAGAGGGGGGUAGAAUUCCACGUGUAGCAGUGAAAUGCGUAGAAGAUGUGGAGGAAUACCAAUGGCGAAGGCAGCCCCCUGGGAUAACACUGACGCUCACGCACGAAAGCGUGGGGAGCAAACAGGAUUAGAUACCCUGGUAGUCCACGCCCUAAACGAUGUCAACUAGUUGUUGGUAGAGUAAAAUCUAUGAGUAACGUAGCUAACGCGUGAAGUUGACCGCCUGGGGAGUACGGUCGCAAGAUUAAAACUCAAAGGAAUUGACGGGGGC
rnacentral:rRNA from 1 species